GAUGAACGCUGGCGGCGUGCCUAAUACAUGCAAGUCGAGCGAACAGACGAGGAGCUUGCUCCUCUGACGUUAGCGGCGGACGGGUGAGUAACACGUGGAUAACCUACCUAUAAGACUGGGAUAACUUCGGGAAACCGGAGCUAAUACCGGAUAAUAUAUUGAACCGCAUGGUUCAAUAGUGAAAGACGGUUUUGCUGUCACUUAUAGAUGGAUCCGCGCCGCAUUAGUUAGUUGGUAAGGUAACGGCUUACCAAGGCAACGAUGCGUAGCCGACCUGAGAGGGUGAUCGGCCACACUGGAACUGAGACACGGUCCAGACUCCUACGGGAGGCAGCAGUAGGGAAUCUUCCGCAAUGGGCGAAAGCCUGACGGAGCAACGCCGCGUGAGUGAUGAAGGUCUUCGGAUCGUAAAACUCUGUUAUUAGGGAAGAACAAAUGUGUAAGUAACGAUGCACGUCUGGACGGUACCUAAUCAGAAAGCCACGGCUAACUACGU
rnacentral:rRNA from 1 species